CCUACGGGAGGGCAGCAGUGGGGAAUAUUGGACAAUGGGCGAAAGCCUGAUCCAGCAAUUCCGCGUGUGUGAAGAAGGCCUUCGGGUUGUAAAGCACUUUAGUGGGGGAAGAAACAGCUUGGCCACACCAAGCCUUGACGGUACCCCAAGAAUAAGCACCGGCUAACUCUGUGCCAGCAGCCGCGGUAAUACAGAGGGUGCAAGCGUUAAUCGGAUUUACUGGGCGUAAAGGGUGCGUAGGUGGCUAUUUAAGUCGGAUGUGAAAGCCCGGGGCUCAACCUCGGAAUUGCAUUCGAUACUGAGUGGCUAGAGUUCGGUAGAGGGCGGCGGAAUUUCCGGUGUAGCGGUGAAAUGCGUAGAUAUCGGAAGGAACAUCAAUGGCGAAGGCAGCCGCCUGGGCCUGGACUGACACUGAGGCACGAAAGCGUGGGUAGCAAACAGGAUUAGAUACCCUGGUAGUCCACGCCGUAAACGAUGAGAACUUGACGUUGUCGUUUACGAAUCGGUGUCGCAGCUAACGCGAUAAGUUCUCCGCCUGGGGAGUACGGCCGCAAGGUUGAAACCUUAAAUGAAAUUGAACGG
rnacentral:rRNA from 1 species